rnacentral:rRNA from 1 species
UACGUAGGGUGCAAGCGUUGUCCGGAAUUAUUGGGCGUAAAGAGCUUGUAGGCGGUCUGUCGCGUCUGCUGUGAAAAUCCGGGGCUCAACCCCGGACUUGCAGUGGGUACGGGCAGACUAGAGUGUGGUAGGGGAGACUGGAAUUCCUGGUGUAGCGGUGAAAUGCGCAGAUAUCAGGAGGAACACCGAUGCGAAGGCAGGUCUCUGGGCCACUACUGACGCUGAGAAGCGAAAGCAUGGGGGAGCGAA